rnacentral:lncRNA from 1 species
AUCAAUAGAGAAAAGCACUAGCGGAAACAUACACAAACGGCUUACACGAGGGUAAGCAAUAGCCAUAAGUGAAAGAAAAAGGAAACUAAACAUUCACAAGUAAUAUGAUUCAUUUUAGAUCAUAUACAUUGCAUCCAUUUCUUACAUUUAAGACUCGUUACAUUUCAUUACAUAAUUUCAUCAUUUCUUUCUUACAUCACAUUUACCUCAAAAUAAGCUUUACAUUCUAUUCUUGCUUUGCUAAAUCAUCAAAUACAAAAGAUGAUCAUAAGGUACUUUACUACAAAAUGAAACCCAACAUCGGUGGCCUCUGUCUAAGGCGCGAUACUUUUACCUCGGUCACUCGCCGGCUCGCUCGGUCCCGGCUCUGUGGAAAUAGUGGGGUGAGAACUACAACAAAGUUCCCAGUGGGUUCGGCCUCAACAUCACCGACUUUCCCACUAGGACUAACUCAGGCAUAAUAGAAAGAAUAAGCUGAAAUAUGGUAACCAAUCUAUAACAUGAUACUAAUAUGCCUGAACAAAAGCAGGAAGUAUGCUCAACAUUAAACAUAUGCAGAUUAUGCAAGUUCUUUCAUUCUUUAACUUUACUCUUUGUUCUUUGCUCUUUGUUCUUUGUUCUUUGCUCUUUAAUCAUUAAGGCUAACCCGGGGGUUUCGCCACAUUAACUUGCUUCACGUUAAGUCCAUCAUCGCAGGUACUCACCAGCUAGGACCGUCCUUACGGGUCUACUCCAACCCGGAUGCAUAACUCCGGAGCGCAUCGCCCGAGGGGGAGCGACCGCCCUCGAGCACGGAACUCAAUAGCAAGUAUGAUCAUAUCCUUAACUCAAAGGAUUAUAAGUCAAUCUUGACUUUACACUAGCUCUAGUGUUCUUUACGUCACUUUAUGUUGCAACUCAUGCAAUCACAUUCCGUACAUUCUCAUUACUCUUGCUAACUCUAGCAAUCAUUGUUCUUUGCAUUUCAUUUACUUUUGCUAACUCUAGCAUUCUUAUUCUUAUUGCCCACUUUACUUUAGCUUUACUCGUCGUCAUUUUCAUCAUUCUUUACAUCACUUUAAUUCUUUACAUCACACUAACUCUAGUGUCAUUUCGCAUUAGCUUUAUCGAAUGCCACUCGAUCUAUGUCAUUGUGCCACUCUGUUCUUUUGCUCACUUUGGGUGCUCACUUUUCUCUCAUGCAUACAUAUAGGGUUUUAACUUUCAUAAGGUUCUUAACCAUCACAUUAUGCAAGUUGUACUCACAAUCAUGCAUCAUCACAUUCUUUUCAUUACUUUACCCUAAAAUGCAUGCAACAAUAUAUAUAACAUAUGCUCAAAGAAUGACACAUUAGGCAUAGAGAGAAUUUCAAUGAGCUUGAGAAGCACCACCCACCUCGUAGGUCUAUUUAGGUGCUCCGACGAUUUUCUUGGGACUUUUAGAUGCUUCGUUCUUUACCUGCGGCAAAACGAAGCCCUAUUAGGCCAUUUUGCCCAUAACUUUGCAUACACCCUUCGAAAUGCUUUUCCGAGCGCACCAACGCGUCGGGAAUACCCCCAAUUAGGUUUUUAGAGGGUCAAUUGCACUUAGAAACCAUCAUGAGCAAAAGCCCCAAUU